UACGUAGGGACCAAGCGUUGUUCGGAUUUACUGGGCGUAAAGGGCGCGUAGGCGGCAUGACAAGUCACUUGUGAAAUCUCCGGGUUUAACUCGGAACGGUCAAGUGAUACUGUCGCGCUAGAGUGCGGAAGGGGCAAUCAGAAUUCUUGGUGUAGCGGUGAAAUGCGUAGAUAUCAAGAGGAGUACCUGAGGUGAAGACGGGUUGCUAGGCCGACACUGACGCUGAAGCGCGAAAGCCAGGGGAGCAAACGGG
rnacentral:rRNA from 1 species